AAGUAACGUCCUGCCAAACCCGUC
rnacentral:siRNA from 1 species